rnacentral:rRNA from 1 species
GCUAUACAUGCAGUCGAACGGUCUUUUCUAUGGAAGCUUGCUUCCACUGAGAAGAUAGUGGCGGACGGGUGAGUAACACGUGGGUAACCUGCCCAUAAGAGGGGGAUAACAUCCGGAAACGGGUGCUAAUACCGCAUAGUUUUCUUGAUCGCAUGAUUGAGAAAGGAAAGACGGCCUUUGUGCUGUCGCUUAUGGAUGGACCCGCGGCGUAUUAGUUAGUUGGUGAGGUAAUGGCUCACCAAGACGAUGAUACGUAGCCGACCUGAGAGGGUGAUCGGCCACAUUGGGACUGAGACACGGCCCAAACUCCUACGGGAGGCAGCAGUAGGGAAUCUUCCGCAAUGGACGAAAGUCUGACGGAGCAACGCCGCGUGAGUGAAGAAGGUUUUCGGAUCGUAAAACUCUGUUGUCAGAGAAGAACAAGUCGGAGAGUAACUGCUCCNGCCUUGACGGUAUCUGACCAGAAAGCCACGGCUAACUACGUGCCAGCAGCCGCGGUAAUACGUAGGUGGCAAGCGUUGUCCGGAUUUAUUGGGCGUAAAGCGAGCGCAGGCGGUUCCUUAAGUCUGAUGUGAAAGCCCACGGCUCAACCGUGGAAGGUCAUUGGAAACUGGGGAACUUGAGUGCAGAAGAGGAGAGUGGAAUUCCAUGUGUAGCGGUGAAAUGCGUAGAUAUAUGGAGGAACACCAGUGGCGAAGGCGACUCUCUGGUCUGUAACUGACGCUGAGGCUCGAAAGCGUGGGGAGCAAACAGGAUUAGAUACCCUGGUAGUCCACGCCGUAAACGAUGAGUGCUAAGUGUUGGAGGGUUUCCACCCUUCAGUGCUGCAGCUAACGCAUUAAGCACUCCGCCUGGGGAGUACGGCCGCAAGGCUGAAACUCAA